rnacentral:rRNA from 1 species
GAUGAACGCUGGCGGCGUGCCUAAUACAUGCAAGUCGAACGAGAAUUAUUGUAGCAAUACGAUAAUUUUAGUGGCGAACGGGUGAGUAACGCGUUGGUGAUCUGCCCCGAAGUGGGGGAUAACAGCUCGAAAGGGCUGCUAAUACCCCAUGUGGUUGCGAGAGUUAGAGGUCUUGCAACUAAAGGAGUAAUUCGCUUCGGGAGGAGCCUGCGUCCCAUCAGCUAGUUGGUAGGGUAACGGCCUACCAAGGCAAAGACGGGUAGGGGACCUGAGAGGGUGACCCCCCACACUGGAACUGAAACACGGUCCAGACACCUACGGGUGGCAG